rnacentral:rRNA from 1 species
UCGAGAAUUUUUCUCAAUGGGGGAAACCCUGAAGGAGCGACGCCGCGUGGAGGAUGAAGGUUUUCGGAUUGUAAACUCCUGUCAUUGGGGAACAAUUCUGCGGGUUUAACUGACCUGCAGUUGAUAGUACCCGAAGAGGAAGAGACGGCUAACUCUGUGCCAGCAGCCGCGGUAAUACAGAGGUCUCAAGCGUUGUUCGGAUUCAUUGGGCGUAAAGGGUGCGUAGGCGGUGAAAUAAGUUGGAUGUGAAAUCCCGGAGCUUAACUCCGGAACUGCAUUCAAUACUGUUUUGCUAGAGUACUGGAGAGGAGAUUGGAAUUCACGGUGUAGCAGUGAAAUGCGUAGAUAUCGUGAGGAAGACCAGUGGCGAAGGCGAAUCUCUGGACAGUUACUGACGCUGAGGCACGAAGGCCAGGGGAGCAAACGG